rnacentral:other from 2 species
GGCGUACUGCGCUUCCCGACAGGAGUAAACGCAUCCCCGGGGCCUUAUUGAUCUCUUAGGGAACUGUCCCUGUGAAGGCCUGUGGGCUUUCGCAUAUGGUGCCCACCUACUUUGUAGGUUCCCGGGAUCAAUCUCAUCCAUCGGUUGUCGUGGUCGCCG